GGCUUCCGCAGCGGCGUGCAUCCCUUGUGGGUGUACGUGAGGACAUUGUGAAAGGUUCGCUAGGCAGGGGGCAUUGAGUUUGCUACCCACCGCCGUGCUGGUGAAUUGCCUGGGAGGAGUCGUGCCUCGGUGCGGCUCUCUUCUGGGUCGUUCUCAUGUGUAUGAACGUUCAAGGACAAUGACCUAAUGCGGUACGCCCACCACAGUUUGUUGUGAGGUCACCCACAGGCUCAAACUGUCGAUCGUGUGUUCAGUGCGUGGCCUGAAUUGUGUGCCGUUCGUAAUAUAGUGCCACCGUUAUCUGUGUGGCGCUCCGGCAUGCAGUCGCGCGCUGGACCAGGCGACGAAACGAGUAUAUCCUGGUAUGAUCCUCGUGCGACAAUCUGAUUCUGACCGAGUGUACAUCGCUACCGUUUGGCUCUGCCCAUGUGUCGGGCGGAGUCAGGAGGUGCAACCUGAUUGUUUGAUCCUCUGAACGAUGUAACAGUCGAUAAGAUCUCAGUCGAGGUAGCGAA
rnacentral:rRNA from 1 species